UGUUUCCUGGUUUAUUCGUCAGUUAUUACUACUCUCGAGCCGAUAAAAAAAUAAUAGGGGAUUCUGAAAAGUUUCUGUUGUGCAUACCCAUCUAAUGGGAAGCCUGAUAAAUUGACGGGGUCACCGCCUUGAACUGUACGGUUCAGGGCAGUAAGCAACAACGGUAAUCUGGGAAACAC
rnacentral:other from 1 species